GACGAACGCUGGCGGCGUGCUUAACACAUGCAAGUCGAACGGAAAGGCCCUGCUUUUGUGGGGUGCUCGAGUGGCGAACGGGUGAGUAACACGUGAGUAACCUGCCCUUGACUUUGGGAUAACUUCAGGAAACUGGGGCUAAUACCGGAUAGGAGCUCCUGCUGCAUGGUGGGGGUUGGAAAGUUUCGGCGGUUGGGGAUGGACUCGCGGCUUAUCAGCUUGUUGGUGGGGUAGUGGCUUACCAAGGCUUUGACGGGUAGCCGGCCUGAGAGGGUGACCGGUCACAUUGGGACUGAGAUACGGCCCAGACUCCUACGGGAGGCAGCAGUGGGGAAUAUUGCACAAUGGGCGGAAGCCUGAUGCAGCAACGCCGCGUGCGGGACGACGGCCUUCGGGUUGUAAACCGCUUUCGCCUGUGACGAAGCGUGAGUGACGGUAAUGGGUAAAGAAGCACCGGCUAACUACGUG
rnacentral:rRNA from 1 species